UAAUUUGUAAUUUUAAACUGCUUUUGUCAUUCAUAAUUUAUAACAAAUUAUUUUAUCUGCUUGAUCUGCAUUUAUCCUGCAUUAUCCACUUGUUCUGCACUUAUUCUGUUUGAUCUGCACUUAUUCCGCUUGAUCUGCAUGAUCUGUUUGAUCUGCAACGCUUGAACUGCUUUUACCAUUCAGAGCCUAAGAGUAUUUAUUUUUGUUGUCUAGAACUUUUUUUGAUCGAAGUAUAGAACUAGUACAGUCGCCACUGGUUUUAUUUAUAGUGGGAUGAAUUAAUAUUUUGGGAAUUAAUUUAUUUUACUAAAAAGUUUCUAUUGGCUGAACAAAUGGUAGAAUUGUUGAACUGCAUCAAAAGUGUGGAAGGUAAAAAUAAAGGCAGGUCGUCUGCUUUCACACAUAUAAAGACAAAACAAAUUAUCUUUAGCAGGUCUCUUGCAUUUUUUUCUUAGAAACAUAAAAAAUUGUGAUUGGUGUUUGCAGUACACAAAUGCAGGACAUCUGCCACUAUGCAGGACAUCUGCCAAUGAUCUGUGCUUCCAUUCAUACUCUUAAUUGAUACAACAGGUUGGGAGAAAAAAAGAAAAGGGAGAUUUAUUGAAUUACCAACCUGUACUAAAGACUUGUCCUUCGAUUGACAGUUGAGACAAAAUCACAUAAUAGAGUCUAAGAAUGGACGAAAAUGUUUUUCACCAUCUGACACACUCAUCACAAAGUAUACUGAAACAAAUUAUUUUUCUCUUUUCUUUCCCUUGCGUUCUCUCUCUCUCUCUUUUGACUCACACUUUUUUUACACUCUCUUUUUUUCCUUUCUUUUUUUUUCUUUCUUCUUAUAAUCACUUUUCUCUUACUUCUCUUCCUUCUCUUCCCUUCCCUUCAACACUCUAUUUCUUCUACAUACAUGAAUCCUCUACAUAAACUCGUUAUUUUUAUUUCUUUCGUAUAUCAUUAGGUCCACAAACUCAUAAACCAUGUAUCAACUCGUUUCUCAU
rnacentral:lncRNA from 1 species